AGCGAACGCUGGCGGCAGGCUUAACACAUGCAAGUCGAGCGGGCAUCCUUGUGGUGUCAGCGGCAGACGGGUGAGUAACGCGUGGGAACGUGCCCUUCGGUUCGGAAUAACUCAGGGAAACUUUAGCUAAUACCGGAUACGUGCGAGAGCAGAAAGGUUUGUCUGCCGAAGGAUCGGCCCGCGUCUGAUUUGCUAGUUGGUGAGGUUAUGGCUCACCAAGGCGACGAUCAGUAGCUGGUCUGAGAGGAUGACCAGCCACACUGGGACUGAGACACGGCCCAGACUCCUACGCGAGGGAGCAGUGGGGAAUAUUGGACAAUGGGGGCAACCCUGAUCCAGCCAUGCCGGGUGAGUGAUGACGGCGGUAGGGUUGUAAAGCUCUUCUCUCCGGGACGAUAAUGACGGUACCGGAGGAAUAAGCCCCGGCUAACUUCGUG
rnacentral:rRNA from 1 species